UACGGAGGGUGCAAGCGUUAUCCGGAUUCACUGGGUUUAAAGGGCGCGUAGGCGGUCCGGUAAGCGUGUGGUGAAAGCCCGGGGCUCGAACCCCGGGUCGGCCGUGCGAACUGCGGGACUGGAGCACUGUAGAGGCAGGCGGAAUUCCGGUGUAGCGGUGGAAUGCGUAGAGAUCCGGAAGAACACCGGUGGCGAAGGCGGCCUGCGCUGGGCGAGUAGCUGACGCUGAGGCGCGACAGCGUGGGGGAGCAAACAGG
rnacentral:rRNA from 1 species